UACGAAGGGGGCUAGCGUUGCUCGGAAUUACUGGGCGUAAAGGGCGCGUAGGCGGGCUCGCAGGUCAGGGGUGAAAGCCCACGGCUCAACCGUGGAAGUGCCUUUGAUACCGUGAGUCUCGAGGGAGGUAGGGGCGUGCGGAACUUCCGGUGGAGCGGUGAAAUGCGUAGAUAUCGGGAGGAACACCGGUGGCGAAGGCGGCCAUCUGGACGGAUACUGACGCUGAGACGCGAAAGCGUGGGGAGCAAACAGG
rnacentral:rRNA from 1 species